UCUUCUUUCUUUGGGAUUCAGUUGUUGCUUGGUGCGUUUUUAAACUGCUCUCCGUCACGCACCCAGCCAACCAGAACUGACAGGAGCUGAUAAAUCUUGGUGUGUGUGAUCUCCCCACAUCCUGUUCUUUUAGUUCUUGUCUGCAGUGAGGUAAGCCCACAGGAAAA